rnacentral:rRNA from 1 species
GUAAAUGGCGGGCUGGCAUGGGGGGUAAUGCGGGUGGUGCUAGGGGUAAACGUAAAUACAGGGCGGAAAGAGCACGCAGGCGUGUGGAUAAGUUAGAGGUGAAAGCCCCGGGCUGAACCGGGGAAUUGCAGUUAAAACUGUCCAGCUAGAGUCUUGUAGAGGGGGGUAGAAGUCCAGGGGGAGCGGUGAAAUGCGUAGAGAUCUGGAGGAAUACCGGUGGCGAAGGCGGCCCCCUGGACAAAGACUGACGCUCAGGUGCGAAAGCGUGGGGAGCAAACAGGAUUAGAUACCCCUGUAGUC